UGGCGGCAGGCCUAACACAUGCAAGUCGAGCGGUAGAGAGAAGCUUGCUUCUCUUGAGAGCGGCGGACGGGUGAGUAAUGCCUAGGAAUCUGCCUGGUAGUGGGGGAUAACGUUCGGAAACGGACGCUAAUACCGCAUACGUCCUACGGGAGAAAGCAGGGGACCUUCGGGCCUUGCGCUAUCAGAUGAGCCUAGGUCGGAUUAGCUAGUUGGUGAGGUAAUGGCUCACCAAGGCGACGAUCCGUAACUGGUCUGAGAGGAUGAUCAGUCACACUGGAACUGAGACACGGUCCAGACUCCUACGGGAGGCAGCAGUGGGGAAUAUUGGACAAUGGGCGAAAGCCUGAUCCAGCCAUGCCGCGUGUGUGAAGAAGGUCUUCGGAUUGUAAAGCACUUUAAGUUGGGAGGAAGGGUUGUANAUUAAUACUCUGCAAUUUUGACGUUACCGACAGAAUAAGCACCGGCUAACUCUGUGCCA
rnacentral:rRNA from 1 species